rnacentral:tRNA from 1 species
GCCCUCUUCGCUUAGUCGGUUAAAGCGAAGGUCUCAUACUACUAAUGUUUGAGGGAGAAUCCUCCUGGCAUCCUUAGCCCCCAGUUCGAUUCUGGGAGAGGGCA